ACUAGAGGAAUGGUCAAAAAUCUGGCAACUAAAAUUUUAUGUUGAUAAGUGCAAGAUAAUGCACCUGGGGCGUAAAAACCCAAGAGCAGAAUAUAAAAUCAGUGAUACAGUCCUAACCUCACUAUCUGAGGAAAUGGAUUUAUGGGUCAUUAUUUCAGAAGACUUAAAGCAAUCCUUUCAGCUGC